ACAGGGAAUGACGUCACAAAUAAGAGACCAAUCAGCUGUUAGAAGGGAGCAGUUAUUGCUUUUUACUACCAGGCCUUCUCUCGCGACCCGCUAAAAGGUACCAAAACAACGUGGCUCGGUAUGCAAGUAUUAUGUACUGUACCGCUCUGCAAGAGCAAUAGCCGUAAAGAUAAAACGCUGCCCUUCCACAAUACUCCUAAAGAUGAAGAGGUUCGGAAACAGUUGACUGUCAACAUCCGUCGUGAUAAGGGAUUGUUAGAUUCAAGAUUACUAAUGCAACACAUGUUUGUGGCAAACACUUCAGACCAGACGAUUAUCAUAUAUUCUUGACUGGCAUCCGCAGGCUAAAGAAGGGGACUAUACCGACCAUUUUCUCAUCCAAAAUGUCAAGUGAAUGUCCACCUCCUAUAAAAAGUUGAGUCAGCUUCAAGGAAGAAAUUGUCAGCACACAAGAUGUGGCCUCGAAUUUCACCUUGUCAGCAGAUCCUGGACCUACUCCGGCUCCUGCUCCAGUUAUCAUUAAUGGUGAAAAAAAAGUCAAUAUAAUGACUGAUGCACAACAUGGCUGUUGUCGAAACAGCUACCACUGAGAUGUGAUAGCCAUAGGUCCAAAGACACACAAGGUAGUCAGUUACAAGCAUGUAACUAAAGAACAGGAAAUAUGCCCCCAGAAACAUGAAGUAUAUGGGCCCAGGGCAAUAUAUGAAGAUCUCGAAUCAAAGAAUGUAAAAGUUAACAUCCAUGCCCAUGACAUGCCCAUGACAGAAAUGCAUCCGUCAGCAAGUUUGUUGCAGAUGACCAUGCAGGUGUCAUAGACUCCUAUGAUACCUGGCAUGCAUCAAAGGAAGUGGGCAGUACCAUGAAGAAAAUAACAUCAGGUACCAAGAAAACCCUAGGUCAAAAAUGGCACCCUGAGUUAUCGAAUAAACUCUCAGGCGUAAAAACUGGGGUCUACUGGGGUAUUGAAUGUUUCCACAACACCAUCCUGGCAUAUGUUGAUAAAUGUGUCCACUUUCAGAACUCAAUGUACACAAUUAAAACAGGAAUUGCUAUUUUGGACUGGAACGAGCAUGUCAACCGACCAUAUUCCUCUAUAAGGACAAGAAGGUCUACAAAAAAUCCCACAAAGGAGUAUCAGAGAAAGGUCCUAAAGUGCAAAUCAUAUGACUUUGUGGAUGAGUUGUGGAAACGCUUCUGUCGAAAACUAAAGCGUGGUCAUUUGUACGGCACCCCAGGUUUUAGUAUAUGUGAAUUAGACUAAAUGCAGUUUCAACAGAAGCUAGAAGAGGCGUAUUCCAUGUGGAUGUUUGGGAUUAACUGAGAAGUAUUUCUUGUUUCCUGGAAAACGUUUGAACCGGUUGUGAGAUUGUGUAUUGUGAUAAAAACAUAUUCACCCACUGACUUCUGUUCAAUGACAUGUGUAUUUGCUUAUGUUUUGUUAAUACAUUUUUUGUUAUUGUGUAUAUAGUGUAUGUAACUAUUCUAUAAACUGACAUGGUUACAAGGAACAUUAUUUCGUGAUUAAUGUAUAUAAGUAAUUUGAUUAGGAUAUGUACUUUGACUGGAUAUAUUCUUAUUAUGCAGUUUCAUUAUUAUCAAAUUUGUAGCCCAUAGAUCUGUUGUCCUCUGAUGUUCCUUAGCAACCAUAUAUACAAUAUGCAGCAAUAACACAUAUUCACCACUAGUGAACUGCAAUAUGGCACACAAGUAGUUUGUAUUCAGCUUCUAAACUUAUUUGUAUGAUUUUUUACUUAUUGUGAUAUUUGGCCCUGAUUUUGACCUGACAUGAGAUCAUGCCCCUAUAGCCAUAUAUAUAUAUAUGUACCAAUGCAAUCACAUGUUGCCUGCUAACUCUGAGGCGGGUCACAAUUUCCUUUUCAUACACAUUUGUUUAUAUGCCAGUGAUUUUGCUGAAGAAACUGUUUUUAUCGUUUGUCAUCAUACACCAUAAUGUAAAUAAUACAUAGACAUAAUUUAGAAGUGA